GAUGAACGCUGGCGGCGUGCCUAAUACAUGCAAGUCGAGCGAAGCGGGGACGGGUGAUUAACACGUGGCUAACCUCCUAUAAGACUGGGGUAAGUUCGGGAAACCGGAGCUAAACCGGAUACUAAUUGAUAGAUCCGCGCUGCAUUAGCUAGUUGGUAAGGUAACGGCUUACCAAGGCUACGAUGAAUAGCCGACCUGAGAGGAUGAUCGGCCACACUGGAACUGAGACACGGUCCAGAAUCCUACGGGAGGCAGCAGUAGGGAAUCUUGCGCAAUGGGCGAAAGCCUGACGGAGCAACGCCGCGUGAGUGAUGAAGGUCUUCGGAUCGUAAAACUCUGUUAUUUGGGAAGCGGUACCUACUCAGAAAGCAACGGCUAACUACGUGCCAGCAGCCGCGGUAAUAC
rnacentral:rRNA from 1 species